rnacentral:lncRNA from 1 species
UCUCAGCUCUUGUCUUUUCAUCAGGAAUGUUUCAGCGGCCUCUAUUUCAUUAAAUGGCCAAUUUUUCUCUUGUUGUGCUUCCCCAGAGAGGAAGCCUGUACUAAGUGGAAUGUUCCCAGAACGAGUGUCUCCUGCCACAAAGAUCUUGUCCGCUGAGUGAUGUCAGUCUAGAUGUGUUUCCAUAGAGAGCAAUCCUGAAGUAACUGGUGUAAGACAGAAACUGGAAAGCCUCUCUGGGCAAAGGAACCGACCUUUAUUAAGGGAAACAAGGUUGGUUUCUUUGCCCAGAAGCCCUUCCCAGUCUCUCUCUUACACCAAAAUGUUCCCAGAGAGAGUGUCUUCCUCCACAACUGUCUUUUCCUCUGAGUUCUGAGAGUAGAGGUGCUUCCCCCGAGAGGGUAGUAACUAAAAGGUUCUCAGAAAGAUUAUCUCCUCCAUCCACACGUGUCUUUUCCUCAGAAUCUUCAGAGAUUAGAUGUUCUUCCCCUGAGAGGGUAGUAAUUGGAAUGUUUUCAGAACGACUGUUUCCAUCUACAAGUGUGUUGUCUUCUGUGUGUUCAGAGAUUAGAUGUGCUUCAACAGAAAGCAAGUCUUCAAUAACUGGACUUUUUCCAGAAAGAUUAUCUUCCACCACAAAUAUCUUUUCCUCUCUGGAUUAUAUAGUUGUGUUGAUU